rnacentral:lncRNA from 1 species
GGGCCCUCUAUCGUGGAUGGGAUAGGAGCGGAGGUCGCUGGCCGCACUCGCGGUCGACUGGAGAUUGCAGCAAGUGGUCCGACCCAUGUACAGGCGCCGAUGCCGCGGGACGCAUCGAAGUGUGAAGUUGUACCAGCCGCGUUGGGAGGUUCCAGAGUGGUGGGAGCCCUCCUGGGGGGACGGAGCGGGAAACCUGCGUAUGAGGGACCCUCUACGAUUUUUGACAUGUUAAGAAGUAGUGGGGACCCAAGGAAGACAGAACAUAAAGGUGGUGUCUGCCAGAUCCCUCUGGUCAGCCUUGAUGCGGAUGAGCGGGAGGUCUGCAUGGGGGCGGCCGC